UACAGGGGGGGCGAGCGUUGUUCGGAAUUACUGGGCGUAAAGGGCGCGUAGGCGGCCUUCUAAGUCGAACGUGAAAUCCCCGGGCUCAACCCGGGAACUGCGUCCGAUACUGGGAGGCUUGAAUCCGGGAGAGGGAUGUGGAAUUCCAGGUGUAGCGGUGAAAUGCGUAGAUAUCUGGAGGAACACCGGUGGCGAAGGCGGCAUCCUGGACCGGUAUUGACGCUGAGGCGCGAAAGCUAGGGGAGCAAACGGG
rnacentral:rRNA from 1 species